GCCCUUAGAGUUUGAUCCUGGCUCAGAACGAACGCUGGCGGCAGGCUUAACACAUGCAAGUCGAACGCCCCGCAAGGGGAGUGGCAGACGGGUGAGUAACGCGUGGGAACAUACCCUUUCCUGCGGAAUAGCUCCGGGAAACUGGAAUUAAUACCGCAUACGCCCUACGGGGGAAAGAUUUAUCGGGGAAGGAUUGGCCCGCGUUGGAUUAGCUAGUUGGUGGGGUAAAGGCCUACCAAGGCGACGAUCCUUAGCUGGUCUGAGAGGAUGAUCAGCCACACUGGGACUGAGACACGGCCCAGACUCCUACGGGAGGCAGCAGUGGGGAAUAUUGGACAAUGGGCGAAAGCCUGAUCCAGCCAUGCCGCGUGAGUGAUGAAGGCCUUAGGGUUGUAAAGCUCUUUCACCGGAGAAGAUAAUGACGGUAUCCGGAGAAGAAGCCCCGGCUAACUUCGUGCCAGCAGCCGCGGUAAUACGAAGGGGGCUAGCGUUGUUCGGAAUUACUGGGCGUAAAGCGCACGUAGGCGGAUAUUUAAGUCAGGGGUGAAAUCCCAGAGCUCAACUCUGGAACUGCCUUUGAUACUGGGUAUCUUGAGUAUGGAAGAGGUAAGUGGAAUUCCGAGUGUAGAGGUGAAAUUCGUAGAUAUUCGGAGGAACACCAGUGGCGAAGGCGGCUUACUGGUCCAUUACUGACGCUGAGGUGCGAAAGCGUGGGGAGCA
rnacentral:rRNA from 1 species